rnacentral:rRNA from 1 species
UACGGAGGAUGCGAGCGUUAUCCGGAUUUAUUGGGUUUAAAGGGUGCGUAGGCGGACUGUCAAGUCAGCGGUAAAAUACGGGGGCUCAACCUCCGCCCGCCGUUGAAACUGACGGUCUUGAGUGGGCGAGAAGUAUGCGGAAUGCGUGGUGUAGCGGUGAAAUGCUUAGAUAUCAGGAGGAACAUCGGUGGCGUAAGCGCUUUACUGGGCCGUAAUUGACGCUGAGGAACGAAAGCCAGGGUAGCAAAUGGG